rnacentral:rRNA from 1 species
AGGCAGCAGUGGGGAAUAUUGGACAAUGGGCGCAAGCCUGAUCCAGCAAUGCCGCGUGUGUGAAGAAGGCCUUCGGGUUGUAAAGCACUUUUAUCAGGAACGAAAUACCACGGGUUAAUAACCUAUGGGGCUGACGGUACCUGAGGAAUAAGCACCGGCUAACUUCGUGCCAGCAGCCGCGGUAAUACGAAGGGUGCAAGCGUUAAUCGGAAUUACUGGGCGUAAAGGGUGCGUAGGCGGUUGUUUAAGUCUGUCGUGAAAUCCCCGGGCUCAACCUGGGAAUGGCGAUGGAUACUGGCCAGCUAGAGUGUGUCAGAGGAUGGUGGAAUUUCCGGUGUAGCGGUGAAAUGCGUAGAGAUCGGGAGGAACAUCAGUGGCGAAGGCGGCCAUCUGGGACAACACUGACGCUGAAGCACGAAAGCGUGGGGAGCAAACAGGAUUAGAUACCCUGGUAGUCCACGCCCUAAACGAUGCGAACUGGAUGUUGGUCUCAACUCGGAGAUCAGUGUCGAAGCUAACGCGUUAAGU